rnacentral:rRNA from 1 species
AACGAACGCUGGCGGCAGGCUUAACACAUGCAAGUCGAGCGCCCCGCAAGGGGAGCGGCAGACGGGUGAGUAACGCGUGGGAAUCUACCCAUCUCUACGGAAUAACGCAUGGAAACGUGUGCUAAUACCGUAUACGUCCUUCGGGAGAAAGAUUUAUCGGAGGUGGAUUAGCCCGCGUUGGAUUGGUUAGUUGGUGGGGUAAAGGCCUACCAAGGCGACGAUCCAUAGCUGGUCUGAGAGGAUGAUCAGCCACACUGGGACUGAGACACGGCCCAGACUCCUACGGGAGGCAGCAGUGGUGAAUAUUGGACAAUGGGCGCAAGCCUGAUCCAGCCAUGCCGCGUGAGUGAUGAAGGCCCUAGGGUUGUAAAGCUCUUUCACCGGUGAAGAUAAUGACGGUAACCGGAGAAGAAGCCCCGGCUAACUUCGUGCCAGCCGCCGCGGUAACAC